GGUGGCUCAGUGCUAGAGCACUUGCCUUGCAUGCAUGAGGCCCUGGAUUCAAUUCUUCAGCACCA
rnacentral:tRNA from 1 species